rnacentral:other from 1 species
GAUGCCCUCGGGACUCAUACAUGAUGAACCGAUACUGUUUUAAAGGGAGCUCAACAUUGCACGCGGAUUAGGGAUUCACCACAACCGUGCCGUGAAAGCUGUGAAGCGUACUGAGAGCACCCACCUGGUGUAAGGUGGGUUCAUCCUUUUUGUUCCGGGGGUAUCU